rnacentral:rRNA from 1 species
ACAGAGGUCCCGAGCGUUGUUCGGAUUCACUGGGCGUAAAGGGUGCGUAGGUGGUGAGGUAAGUCGGAUGUGAAAGCUCCAAGCUCAACUUGGAAAUGGCAUUGGAAACUACCUUGCUAGAGGGUUUGAGGGGGGACUGGAAUACUUGGUGUAGCAGUGAAAUGCGUAGAUAUCGGGAGGAACACCAUUGGCGAAGGCGGCUUCCCGGUCCGGUACUGACGCUCAGGCACGAAAGCCAGGGGAGCAAACGGGA